rnacentral:rRNA from 1 species
AUUGAACGCUGGCGGCAUGCCUUACACAUGCAAGUCGAACGGCAGCACGGGAGCAAUCCUGGUGGCGAGUGGCGAACGGGUGAGUAAAGUAUCGGAACGUGCCCAGUCGUGGGGGAUAACAUAGCGAAAGUUACGCUAAUACCGCAUACGAUCUAUGGAUGAAAGCGGGGGAUCGCAAGACCUAGCGCGAUUGGAGCGGCCGAUAUCAGAUUAGGUAGUUGGUGGGGUAAAGGCUCACCAAGCCGACGAGCUGUAGCUGGUCUGAUGGGACGACCAGCCACACUGGGACUGAGACACGGCCCAGACUCCUACGGGAGGCAGCAGUGGGGAAUUUUGGACAAUGGGCGAAAGCCUGAUCCAGCCAUGCCGCGUGCAGGAUGAAGGCCUUCGGGUUGUAAACUGCUUUUGUACGGAACGAAAAGGUUUGGCCUAAUAAGCUGAGCUCAUGACGGUACCGUAAGAAUAAGCACCGGCUAACUACGUGCCAGCAGCCGCGGUAA